UACGGGAGGCAGCAGUGGGGAAUAUUGCACAAUGGGCGCAAGCCUGAUGCAGCCAUGCCGCGUGUAUGAAGAAGGCCUUCGGGUUGCAAAGUACUUUCAGUCGUGAGGAAGGUGUUAAGGUUAAUAACCUUAGCAAUUGACGUUAGCGACAGAAGAAGCACCGGCUAACUCCGUGCCAGCAGCCGCGGUAAUACGGAGGGUGCGAGCGUUAAUCGGAAUUACUGGGCGUAAAGGGCACGCAGGCGGUUAAUUAAGUUGGAUGUGAAAUCCCCGGGCUUAACCUGGGAAUGGCAUUCAAGACUGGUUAGCUAGAGUCUUGUAGAGGGGGUAGAAUUCCAUGUGUAGCGGUGAAAUGCGUAGAGAUGUGGAGGAAUACCGGUGGCGAAGGCGGCCCCUGGGACAAAGACUGACGCUCAUGUGCGAAAGCGUGGGGAGCAAACAGGAUUAGAUACC
rnacentral:rRNA from 1 species